rnacentral:rRNA from 1 species
UACGUAGGGUGCAAGCGUUGUCCGGAAUUAUUGGGCGUAAAGAGCUCGUAGGCGGUUUGUUGCGUCGGCUGUGAAAUCCCGAGGCUCAACCUCGGGUCUGCAGUCGAUACGAGCAAACUAGAGUGUUGCAGGGGAGACUGGAAUUCCUGGUGUAGCGGUGAAAUGCGCAGAUAUCAGGAGGAACACCGGUGGCGAAGGCGGUUCUCUGGGCAUGUCCUGACGCUGGAGGAGCGAAAGUGUGGGGAGCGAACAGG